rnacentral:rRNA from 1 species
CCAGACUCCUACGGGAGGCAGCAGUGAGGAAUAUUGGUCAAUGGGCGCGAGCCUGAACCAGCCAAGUCGCGUGAGGGAGGACGGCCCUACGGGUUGUAAACCUCUUUUGCCGGGGAGCAACGGGCGUCACGUGUGGCGCCACUGAGAGUACCCGGAGAAAAAGCAUCGGCUAACUCCGUGCCAGCAGCCGCGGUAAUACGGAGGAUGCGAGCGUUAUCCGGAUUUAUUGGGUUUAAAGGGUGCGUAGGCGGCUCGUUAAUUCGGGGGUCAAAUGGGGGGCCUCACCCCCUUCCCGCCAUUGAAACUGGCGCUCUUGAGUGGAAGAGAAGUAUGCGGAAUGCGUGGUGUAGCGGUGAAAUGCAUAGAUAUCACACAGAACCCCGAUUGCGAAGGCAGCAUGCCGGCUUCCGACUGACGCUGAAGCACGAAAGCGUGGGGAUCGAACAGGAUUAGAUACCCCUGUACUC